GGGGACGAAGUCCGACUCCCGUAGGAGUCCGGACGGAGUCUGGUAGUUGUAGAAAUCUGUUGUUGGUGAAGUUCGGCCGUUGGCGAGGUCCGAGGUAGUUUGGAUUGGAGUUGAACCUGGCUGGAAGAAGUCUGGAAGGGAUUCGGGGAGCAGCCGACGGUCGUAGGAGGUCGGCUGGCGGCAGAGCUUAGUGAGCGCUUGG
rnacentral:lncRNA from 1 species